UGUAGCUGGGUGAAUUCCAGGUUCCAUCGUCCCUUUGCAAGAUCCCCGAUCCCCGGCGGCUGGUGCUGGGAGCCCGGAGCCCUGGCUGCAGCCAGGAGAGGGGAAUCUCCAGCAGGGCCCUUCCCGCUGCUCCCCAGGAGCCUCUCCCAGGGCAGGGCCCCCUUUCCCGGCCCCAGCUCCCAAGGCGGGCACCGCUCGGAGGGAAGACUGCAGAAUAAUGACCACAUCUCGCUCCAGAUCGUCCCAUCGGGCCAUGAAACAGGGACAGGAAACGGUGGGAGUGGAACCUGCUUGGAUGCCGGUGACCUUCGAGGAGGUGGCUGUGUAU